GCCCGGGUGGCGGAAUUUGGCAGACGCGCCAGCUUGAGGGGCUGGUGGGCUUCGGCCCGUGCUGGUUCGAAUCCAGUCCCGGGCA
rnacentral:tRNA from 2 species